UACGUAGGGGGCAAGCGUCAUCCGGAUUUACUGGGUGUAAAGGGAGCGUAGGCGGCCAUGUAAGUCAGAAGUGAAAGCCCGGGGCUCAACCCCGGGGCUGCUUUUGAGACUGUGUGGCUGGAGUGUCGGAGGGGUAAGUGGAAUUCCUAGUGUAGCGGUGAAAUGCGUAGAUAUUAGGAGGGACACCAGUGGCGAAGGCGGCUUACUGGACGAUCACUGACGCUGAAGCUCGAAAGCGUGGGGAGCAAACAGG
rnacentral:rRNA from 1 species